UCGAACGGAGCGAAUGAAAGCUUGCUUUUAUAAGCUUAGUGGCAAACGGGUGAGUAACACGUAGACAACCUGCCGACAGGAUGGGGACAACAUUCCGAAAGGAAUGCUAAUACCGAAUGAAGCGCAGGAGAGGCAUCUCUCCUGCGUGAGAGAUGGCCUCUAUAUAUAAGCUAUCACCUGUUGAUGGGUCUGCGUCUGAUUAGCUGGUAGGUGAGGUAACGGCUCACCUAGGCGACGAUCAGUAGCCGGUCUGAGAGGAUGAACGGCCACAUUGGGACUGAGACACGGCCCAGACUCCUACGGGAGGCAGCAGUGGGGAAUCUUCCGCAAUGGGCGCAAGCCUGACGGAGCAACGCCGCGUGAGUGAAGAAGGUCUUCGGAUCGUAAAGCUCUGUUGAUGGGGACGAACGUGCCUAAUGCGAAUAGUAUUAGGUAAUGACGGUACCCAUCGAGGAAGCCACGGCUAACUACGUGCCAGCAGCCGCGGUAAUACGUAGGUGGCGAGCGUUGUCCGGAAUCAUUGGGCGUAAAGGGAGCGCAGGCGGGCAUGUAAGUCUUUCUUAAAAGUGCGGGGCUCAACCCCGUGAUGGGAAAGAAACUAUGUGUCUUGAGUACAGGAGAGGAAAGCGGAAUUCCCAGUGUAGCGGUGAAAUGCGUAGAUAUUGGGAGGAACACCAGUGGCGAAGGCGGCUUUCUGGACUGCAACUGACGCUGAGGCUCGAAAGCCAGGGGAGCGAACGGGAUU
rnacentral:rRNA from 1 species